UACGUAGGUGGCAAGCGUUGCCCGGAAUUACUGGGCGUAAAGAGCGUGUAGGCGGCCAGGCAGGUCUGUUGUGAAAACUGGAGGCUUAACCUCCAGACGUCGACAGAAACCGUCUGGCUAGAGUCCGGAAGAGGAGAGUGGAAUUCCUGGUGUAGCGGUGAAAUGCGCAGAUAUCAGGAAGAACACCAAUGGCGAAGGCAGCUCUCUGGGCCUUACCUGACGCUGAGGCGCGAAAGCUAGGGGAGCGAACAGG
rnacentral:rRNA from 1 species